rnacentral:misc_RNA from 1 species
GAAAUGUUAAAGACUAAAAACGAUAUUUUUGAUAACACAAGGAUCAAUUCAUUAAUUUCACUAUAUCAAGUCUUACGACAAUUAUGGUAUUCAUUGACUGAGAUGGUAUCAGUCUAGUAUGUAGAGGAGAAAAGAUAAACAGGGGAGCUGGGAGAGACGCAAAAGCAGAAUAUUUACGUCGAUAAGUUACCGAAUCACUUUUUUCAAGGGAUCAAUCUCUACCCCAUAGCUUUCUUCUGCGCAAUGCGAUAAAUGAACAGAAUAAACCCUCUUUAUGAACCUGCAAGUUGACGAAUAUACUUCAGGGGCCGACUACUACAAUCAGCUGAGCAUAGUAGGAUGCCCUGUCUGUAUUAUCCUCUUGAGCAUGUCCAUCCCAAACGCAGAAUCCGAUGAACUGAGUAAUGGCAGUAUAAUGUUAACUCAGCAGUUUAAUCAUGAGCUUCAGAGAAAUUUCCUAACAGAAAAUUGCGACAUAACAAUUUCUCAUUAACAGAACAAGGACAUCAGGCGCAGUCAGUUAUAACCUAGUAUGCUGAAUGUAAUUAGCACAAAGACAACCUCAGCUUAUUAGUUCACUAAAGCUAAAAAUAAAAUGCUGAUGACAGAGGCGAGUCUAACUAGUCCCUUGCUAACUCAACUUAAACCAAGGGAGUUAAAAUGGUUUUGGUUAGCUGCAGGUGGAGAAUAGACAAGUAGACCUGCCUUUUCAUCAUCACUUGUAUGCUCUAAAGAUUAAAAGCAAGAAAUGAACGAGGAAGGAGCAGUAGGUUUUGACUGAACCUUCAAACAGAGCCAUACGUACACUUGAUCUUAAAGUACUCCAGCAGUAUCUACAAUUGACAGCUAUGCAGUAUGUUAUCAGUUUCUAUAUCCAUUUUACAAAUUCCAUCUAUUCUCAUCGUCAAGUAAACUAGUGCCUUUUGUCAUUCAAUUGAUUGAAAAAAGGUUCCAUUAACAAAAGUAUAUUGCCUUCAUUAUGCCUCUCCUUCCAUGAUAUACUACCACCAAUAACUAUCCAUCCCACACACAAGAUUGCAACUCAAUAAUGACCCUCCCUUCCCCUAGGCACUGUUAUUGCAAAGGAAUUUUAUGGCUCAGACAGACUACAAUAAUAAAUAUACUGAAGUUCCAAGGAAUAAGCAAAGACAUUAGAUACUUACUAUAGUAGUUGAUCCAAUACAAGUUUGUUAACAAAUGAAAGAAUAUUUAGCAUUAUUGCGUCAGCAAUCAUAAUAUCAAUUUCCUUUCUUCAAGUGAUAGAAACAAACUUUUCACAAACAGUCAUUGUUUACUCUGCCUUCACAUUUCAAUUUCCUUUCUUCAAUUAUGAAAUAUGUUUCACUUUCCUAAAUACACAGUUUAAGCUAUAUGUUGUUUCUUAUAUUCAAAAUUUCUACACACCAAGUAAAUGGUAAAAUCAUAAUACCAAAUUUUCACAAACUUAUAAGCAACCUAAUAAAAGGACAACACUGCCAACAUACUAACACAAUAUCACCAGAACCAAACUACUGUUACUUCAUAAGAGAUCAAGAAUAUUAAAAUGGUUCAAAGAACAGAAAGAAUAACAAAAAAUAGAUUCACCCAACACAACAUGCAUGAUAUGCAACCUAAUAUAACCAAGACCAAUAUGCAUCACAAGCAGAGGAGAAAAUGAAGAACAACUGACCUCGGGAUGUGAAUUUCAUAAGGAAAAUAGAUGACACUCUCAGUUAUAGGGGGAACAUGAUCUUUUUUCUCAUUCACAAAUUUUAUUAUUUGGAACAAAACCUCGCGAAGAGAUACUUCAAGUGAUGCUCUGCGAACACUCCUCUCCUCAGAUGCACUCUCUCCUGGAUCAACAACUAUUUUAGAAUGAUGAGACUUUCCAGAGUGUGCUUUUGGUUUUGGGUGUUGAGUCACAUUCAAAUUGAUAUGCCAUUGUUCCCAAUCUAGUCGUUCAAUUUUGUUAGUGAACCAUGAUGGAUGCUUGCUUUUCACUUCAUAAAAGGACAAACAUAUCUGCAUCAUAACUCAGAAGUAAACAAACAAUAUAAAGAUCAUAAAAAGAUGUAACAUUGCUAAUUUAACUAGAAGAGAUGGAAAAAUGGUAUAUCAAAAAAGAUAGAGAAUUGGACUAUUAUCAAUCAUUGUUCAGCACAAGACGAGGCAUACCAAACGCAAAACAUGCAGCAUGCAGAAAUGUUGAUGCCACCAGGACACUUAGAAGAUCCUGAAUGAUGAGAAAAAGGAUGAAAUGCUUGUCCUUGCCGAGUGGCAAAUACAACAUAACUCAACUCAACUACAUGUUAAUCCCAAUCUAGUUGAAGUUGGGCCAUUGAAUUAGACUCUUUUCCGCAUUUUCAGUAGAUGAUACCAAAUAUUAGACCCAGUUAUGUAGGAUGCAUAACAUUCGGGACUGAAUCACUUCCCCGCAUCAUCAAAUACCCGCCCAUGGAAAUAAAAAGAAUACACAGAAACUUGAGAUGGUAAUAAACUAAUUAUUUUCACAACUUAAAAAGGAUUUGGCAUACAGACCUCGCUUUUCUUAUUCGGGUGUUUCUCAACCCAACUUACAAAUUGCUCAAUCUUCUCAUCUAUUUUCUUUUCAACUUCGAUAUCCCCACAUUGCACAUAUGUAAUAUCAAAGAGCUCCAAAUCAAUGUCUUUAGGCCGGACAAGACCUAAAGCCCGAUGAAAGACAAUUGUAUGUAAUAUGCAGCGUAGAACUUCCCGUAUCUCAAAGUGCUCCACCUCCAGUUCUUUGAGUUGGCAAACUUCGCAAUUCAUGAUGAUUUUUGGUGAGAAAAUUGAGCAAAGACUGACGUAGAUCAAUCUAAAAUUGAAAAUUGGAAAGCUAGGAGAUGUUUUGGAAGUUGGAUUAAUGAAAGGUGGGCAACGAACGAUGGGUGAAGUAAGGUAAAGUCGACGGUGGAGCUUCGCGUAUGGUAGUGAUCUAUUCCUGAUAGGAGUACAGUAGUAGUAGUAGUAAAU